rnacentral:rRNA from 1 species
GACGAACGCUGGCGGCGUGCUUAACACAUGCAAGUCGAACGAUGAAGAAGAGAAACGCGAACUUCGGUUCAAAUUUCACUUCGGAUUAGUGGCAGACGGGUGAGUAACGCGUGAGCAACCUACCUCUUACAAAGGGAUAGCCUCGGGAAACCGUGAUUAAUACCAUAUGACACAUUCAUAAGGCAUCUUAAGAAUGUUAAAGCUACGGCGGUAAGAGAUGGGCUCGCGUCCCAUUAGCUAGUUGGUGAGGUAACGGCCCACCAAGGCGACGAUGGGUAACCGGCCUGAGAGGGUGAACGGCCACAUUGGAACUGAGACACGGUCCAAACUCCUACGGGAGGCAGCAGUGGGGAAUAUUGCACAAUGGAGGGAACUCUGAUGCAGCGACGCCGCGUGAGCGAUGAAGGAAUUCGUUUCGUAAAGCUCUGUUCUAUGGGAAGAAAAGGACUGUACCAUAGGAGAAAGCCCCGGCUAAAUACGUG